AUGUUACAGUUGCCAUUUUUGGGCAAGAUGGCUCUAAUGUUUGAAAAAUAAGACUUUAGAGCCAUCUUGCCCAAAAAUGGCAACUAAACUUUCCGUUU